rnacentral:rRNA from 1 species
UAUUGCGCAAUGGGGCAACCCUGACGCAGCCAUGCCGCGUGAAUGAAGAAGGCCUUCGGGUUGUAAAGUUCUUUCGGUGAUGAGGAAGGAGGAUGUUUAAAUAGGGCAUUCAAUUGACGUUAAUCACAGAAGAAGCACCGGCUAACUCCGUGCCAGCAGCCGCGGUAAUACGGAGGGUGCGAGCGUUAAUCGGAAUAACUGGGCGUAAAGGGCACGCAGGCGGAUAAUUAAGUGAGAUGUGAAAUCCCCGAGCUUAACUUGGGAAUUGCAUUUCAUACUGGUUAUCUAGAGUCUUGUAGAGAGGGGUAGAAUUCCACGUGUAGCGGUGAAAUGCGUAGAGAUGUGGAGGAAUACCGGAGGCGAAGGCGGCCCCUGGACAAAGACUGACGCUCAUUGCGAAA